rnacentral:rRNA from 3 species
AAAUGACUCUCGGCAACGGAUAUCCUGGCUCUCGCAUCGAUGAAGAACGUAGCGAAAUGCGAUACUUGGUGUGAAUUGCAGAAUCCCGUGAACCAUCGAGUCUUUGAACGCAAGUUGCGCUCGAAGCCAUUAGGCUGAGGGCACGUCUGCCUGGGUGUCACGC